GAUUCGCGCAGAGCCCAGCUGCCCAAUUCCAAUAUGGUGGCCAGCUUGGCAGACCUACGGUUCUUGUUGAUGAUAUUGUUGCUCUGCGGGAGGAUCGGGGACGGCGCCUGCAGCCAGCAAGCCCCGCGCGUUCUGGGGUUGCGACUGGAGGACCCAGAAGGCCGGGUGUAUAUGAAGGAGAGGAUCAUCUCUGCGCCGCAAGGGGCCAGUUUCAAGCUCCGGCUGUUCGGCUCGAAUCUGAAUGGUACCUGGCCGUGGGUGGCGUUCGCUGGGGCUAGACUGGGAGAGGCCGGGGCGGUGGGGGAUGCAGCCGACCCGUGUGGGCAGGAGACCCGCCGUGACACCUCCGCCUUCCAGGUCACCGGGGAGGUCACGGCGGAUGAGGAGUACAGCGGGCUGAUAGAGGUGAAGGUGCGGGACAAGAGCAUUAUGUCUCUCGCUGCAGGGGAUGAUGCCAACCCGACCUACCACCUGUGUGUGCUGAAGAGCGGGAGUUGGGUGUCAGUGGGACCGGACAGGCUGCGGAUCAACAACGAAAAUGGUCUCCCAGCGGACUACAUCCCUCCGUGGGGCGUGGCGGUGCUGAUUGUGCUGCUGAUCCUGGUGUGUGGGUUGCUGAGGACUGUGAACCUCAGCCUGCUGUGGCUGGACCCUCUGGAGCUCUAUGUCCUGCACAGCUGCGGCUCUGAGGAAGACAAACGGGCCGCCAAGCGCCUCGAGCCCAUCCGGAGAAGAGGCAACUUCCUGGUGUGUUCCCUGCUUUUCCUGUGCGCUCUGGGCCAUUCGGUUCUAGGUGUGCUGCUCUACCUGGCCGUGGGUUCCAUAGCGCCCGCCGUCUUCACCAGCGGGUUCCUCAUCUUCCUGGUGUCAGAGCUGGUUCCACACAUAGUGUGUUCCUGCUACGGCUUCCAGCUGGCCCCAGGCCUCACCUGGCUGGCACAGGUGUGUAUGGUGCUGACGUGCCCACUGUCGUGCCCACUGGGCCUGGUGCUGGAUCUGGCACUGAGGCGUGACAUCAGCACCUGCGGCGUGAGGGAGAGGGCCAUGGAGAUGAUACGCACCAAUGUCAACGACCCCUACAGUGAGUUUGUGAAGGAGGAGUUUAGCCGUGGUGCGCUGCGCAGUAAGACAGUGGAGGACAUCCUGACUCCGCUCAAGGACUGUUUCAUGCUGCCGUCCACCGCUGUGCUGGACUUCUCCACCAUGUCAGAGAUCAUGCAGAGUGGAUACACCCGUGUCCCAAUCUACGAAGAGGAGAGGUCCAACAUCGUGGAGAUACUGUACGUGAAGGACCUGGCUCUGGUCGACCCUGACGACUGUACUCCCAUGACAACCAUCACUAAGUUCUACAACCACCCGCUGCACUGUGUCUUCAACGACACCAAACUGGACGCCAUGCUGGAGGAGUUCAAGAAAGGAAACUCAGCCCUGGCCAUCGUCCAGAAGGUGAACAACGAGGGGGAGGGGGAUCCCUUCUACGAGGUGCUGGGAUUGGUCACCUUGGAGGACGUCAUCGAGGAGAUCAUCAAAUCAGAGAUCCUGGAUGAGACUGACGGAUACAUCGACAUGAAGGUGAAGCGUCCUCUGGCCCCUCUGGAGAUUUCCCUGGAGCCUCGCAGCGUCCACGAGGAAUUCUCUCUGUUCAAACUUCCCGAGGGUGAACCCAAGACCCGCACGUCUCCCCAGCUACUGCUGGCCACACACCGCUUCCUGUCCAGAGAGGUAGAACACUUCAGUCCAGCCCGUGUGUCAGAGAAGGUGUUGUUCCAUCUGCUGCGUCACCCCAGUGUCAACCAGGAAGUCCACUUUGACCCCUCCAACCGCCUGAGCGCAGACCACUACCUCUACACACGCAACCACCCUGUAGACUACUUCAUACUGCUACUACAGGGCCGUGUGGAGGUGGAGAUCGGUAAAGAGGGCUUGAAGUUUGAGAACGGAGCGUUCACAUACUACGGUGUGUCUGCACUCACAGCGCCAACCUCAGUGCACCAGUCUCCAGUGUCGACCCAGCGUCGUUCUCCCAGGGAUCCGUUUGAGUUGGGAGACGCCACCAGCUCGUCCAGCUACUGUCCUGACUACACCGUCCGUGCCCUCACUGACCUGCAGCUCAUACGGGUGACUCGCAUGCAGUACCUGAAUGCUCUGAUGGCGUCACGUGUUGGCCAGAGCCCAGACCCUUCUGAAAUCAAGAUCCUGCCCAACAGUCAGACCAAGCUGCUCAACGAGAGGAACAUCACCACGCAAGAGUUCCCUGCAAACUUUUCUUUCUUUGACAACAUUGACAACUACUGUUAGUGUUUUCUGUGUGCAUGAGGUCGCAGUUGUAAAUGAGAACUUGUUCUCAACUGGCCUACCUGGUCAAAUAAAGGUGGCAGUAAAUCCCAGGAGAGUUCCACGGAAGAGGAGGCUCAUGGGUAAUGCGGUUCUCUCCCUCAGAACGACGUGUGUUACUCAGACGACCAACCGACAGCCACGUGCGACUGUUUUUAGGAGUAGACUUCAUGUGUUUAUCUCUGAAAAUGCAGUGAUUGAACCUGGCUAGUGUGAGCGUGUGUGUCGCUGCUGCACCAUCCUCAGCUGUACUUCUCAUUCAUUGUGUGUGUGUGUGUGUGUGUGUGUCCUCCCUGUUGUAAUUCAGCCUCCUUUCCUAAACUUUACAUUGCCUGUUCCUUCAUUUAUUAUCAGUGUGCCAAAGCGACUCACCUUAACCUCCUGUGGGUGUACGUACGUGUGUG